rnacentral:rRNA from 1 species
UACGCAGGGGGCAAGCGUUGUCCGGAAUUAUUGGGCGUAAAGCGCGCGCAGGCGGCUAGUUGAGUCAGAUGUGAAAGGCUGCGGCUCAACCGCAGAGCUGCAUCUGAAACUGAUUAGCUUGAGUGCAGGAGAGGAUAGUGGAAUUCCCGGUGUAGCGGUGGAAUGCGUAGAGAUCGGGAGGAACACCAGUGGCGAAGGCGACUGUCUGGACUGUAACUGACGCUGAGGCGCGAAAGCGUGGGGAGCAAACAGU